rnacentral:lncRNA from 1 species
CCUUUCAUUUUAUCACACAAGAGAAGCUGACCAAAUCCAAAUGGAGGUCAACAUCAUGACCCUCUGUAGCAGCAAUCACAUAUAGACUAUUAGUAUGCCACAGCAUAAACAAACUAAACCACCAAUUUGGCAGGAUUCAUAGAUACCCAAUUGAUGGCUGGCAGCAUCUGCCAGGAAGCAUUUUUGUUGACAGGUCUGAGACUGUUGUUCUGCUCCUUCAAUGAUGGAUGCCUGCUCUCACUUCGCAAAGAGAGAGGUCAUGAGAGAGAUCAGCAUGCAAUGCGAUCACAUUUUUAACCAUGUGUAGGAGGACAAGGAAGAAAAUGCCAAAAAUAGAUACUCCUCACACAACAUGAAAUGUUAAACCGCCUGAAAAGAAGAAUAGACAGAGAGAAAAUUCAAGAGAAUUAUGAUCAGAAAAUUUGUAAGAAUGAAUUUCUUAAAUCAUAUGGAACAAUAACAAAUUUUGCAAGAAAAUUAUAUGAUGAAAUAGAGCAUAACCCUAUGUCACCAAGUGAUAAAUAUCAUUUCGGAGAAGAAAUCAUGAGUUAUAAAUAUACCACUAGGCAGGAAGGGUCUUCCAAGAAAUAGUAGCAAAGAAUUGUUAUCGUUGAUACAGGUACAAAGUUUAUAUAAUAUGUAAAUUGAUGCAGUUAGUUCGUGGUUCAUGCACCAUAUCAAGUUAUUGCGAAUCAUAUAAAGAAAGAGUGUAUUGUUAGUGUACUGGAUUUUACCCUUUUUUUCAGAAAAAAAGGCCCUAGAUGGAAAAAUAAUAUCUUUGGUUAAUUUUCUAGGCCAUGGUCUUAAGACCUAUCAAUUCCUUGCGUAGUUUUUCUAAAUAAAACACAAAUGGACCCAACACAUCUAUGGCAUUAAUACAAGAUUAGUCAAGAAUACUUUUACUCAUAAGUCACAACAAAAGUGUCAAAAACUGAGAACCGUAAGCCUUGUAUGUCAAAACAUUUUGUCUAUUAAGGUAAAUAGUGUUGGAAUAAAUACGUUCAAAAAAUCUAGAAAUUAUGAUUAUUGUUCUUAUAUUCUUAAAUGGUUUUAUAAAGAAAAAUAGAAUACUAAAACAAAUAAGAGAUUGAAAAGACCUUACCAGAAUCGAGGCGUAUGAAACACUACCCUAAGAACAUGAUUCGCCCCCUACGUGUGGGUCUUCGACGAUCUUAUUCCCAAUGUACAACGACCCUACUCAGUCUAAUACUUCUCUCAUGAGCACAAUCAUUGGGGAGGCUGACCCAAGAGAUUUUCUUCAGAUGCCCAAUUAAUAAAAGAAAAUGAAAAAGAGAAAGACAGUCUCUAUCUCAGAAAGUAAUAAAGAGAAACAGAAUAUAAGAAGAGAUAGAGAGAUUUUAUUGUUUUUAAACAGUCGGAUGCAGAACCUAUUUAUAGACUCUAUCCAGAUUAUCGAAGAGGCAUCAUGAUCUUGAAGAGAUACGAUGUUUCAGAAACAUCGUAUUUUUUUGGAAGGAAACUAACAUUCUCUUUCGAAGAGUUGUAUCUCUUCAGAAAGAACCAUUUAAGUUUAAAAAUAGAGUUUUAAUAUUUUUAAAUAAUAAAAUUUAAAUAUUUUUACUUUUUAUUUUAAAAUAAAACUUUAACAAUCCCCAACAAAAGAUUUAAAUUUUAAAAAUUAGAAAGAUAAAUAUUUAGGCAUCUUAUAUUGUACAAUAGGUAAAGUGUCCUCUAGACUUGAACUUCACUUAGUAUUGAUAGUAUUCAUCUGAAGAAACUAUAGUGGAUUAGACUUUGAAUUAGGUCCUUUAACUCAGACUUCAACUUUCACACAAAUAAAAUGGAUCAAAUGGGUCUUUACGCGGUCAAUGCCAUUUAGAGGCCUUGCGCUUAGUAUCUUGAUUUUUUUAUGAAAAUUUUGUUGGGGUUAACCCAAACCUCUAGUCACGAUCUAUACGAUAAUUCUCAUAUAGAUAAGUCAUCCAAGGAUAUUUGUGAUCUAACACCCUACAGAUUUUUUAUCUUGAACUCAUUAAGAGCUUAGCUCAUCCUUUUCAAAUUAUUUUAUCACUAAUAAGAGCACUCAUCAUAAGGAUGGGAGAAAAUAUACUCUGAUAAUAUGCUCUAGAAAUGAUCACUCAAUAAGCUUUAUUUCUACCACAUUGAACCUCAUUCAUGAGAUCUCGAAUCAUAGAGGUUGGGUAUCCACUAUCGGUGAUCGCAUAGUGGGCUUAAGCCUCAUCCCCCUCGAUGAUUCUAGGACUCCAUUCCUAAACAAAUCCUUGGUUAAUUGAUCUGCCAAGUUUUUUCUCUGACUCAAAAAAUUCCAAGAAAAUGACAUUACUCUUUUUGAGUUGUCUUACAAAUUUAUGAUAAAUCCAAAUAUGCCGGUUCAUCUUUUUAUUUAUACUUUUUUGAUUAGUCAGUUUGAAUACAACCCUAUUAUGACAAUGAAUUGAUAUGGCCAAAACUAGUUUAAGUAUUAAAGAUAGCUCUAAGAUAAAAUUUUUAAUCCACUCUACCUUAGUAUAGGUGGUAUCCAAAGCAAUCAAUUCAGCCUCUAUGAUGCUCCAAGAUAUAAUGACUUGCCUGGAAGAUCCUUAAGCUAUGGCAGCAUCAUCGAGAAGAAAAAGAUAUCCGAUGGUUGAUUUAAGAGCAAGUUAAUCAGUAAACUAAUUUGUAUCACUAUAACCCUCAACCACCUUAGGAUAUCCAGUGUACAAGAGAGAUAGAUCAAGGGUUCCCUUAAGAUAUCGAAAUACCUUUCAACAGCAUGACCAAUAAGAUUCAUUUGAUUUUGGAUAUAUCUACUAAAUCUCCCUACAGCAUAGGCAAUAUCAGAUCUUGUUCUCUUUGCCACAUAAAGAAAAAAAUCUAUAAUCUAAGAGUAUCUAAGUGGAUCAAUUGGUUCAUCUAAAUUCUUUUUAAGAUGGAUACUUAGAUCAUAAGGAGUAGAUAUAGAUUUCUGAUCAGAAUAUCCAAACUUUUCAAUCAUUUUCUUGAUAGAAUGAGAAAGAGGACUAUCCAUUCAGGAGAUUUGAUCAGCUUCAUUCCUAGGAUAACAUCAACUUCACCUAAAUCUUUCAUAUCAAAGUGAUUUGAAAAGAAUUGUUUGACUACAGAUAUGACUUUAUGAGAAGUUUCAAAAAUCAAAAGAUCAUCGACAUAUAAAUAGAAGAUCACAGAAUCAGCAUCAAUGAUUUUGAAAUGGACACACUUAUCAUGAUCAUUGAUUGAAAAACCAAAUGAAAGAAUAGUUCUAUCAAACUUUUCAUGCCAUUGUUUAGGCACCUGUUUAGGACCGUACAGGGACUUAACAAGUUUACAAACUUUAUUCUCUUAUCUCUUAACUAUGAAUCCCUCAGGUUAUUCUAUAUAGAUCUUUUCAUCUAGAUCUCCAUUUAGAAAUACAGUCUUCACAUUCAUUUAAUGAAUGAUCAACUUAUAGAUGGAAGCAAUGGCAAGAAGAGUUUUAAGGAUAGAUAUUCUAGCUACAGGAGAAUAUGUAUCAAAAUAAUCCAAUUUUUUUUCUGAUUAUACCCCUUAGCUACUAAUCUAGUCUUAUACUUUUCUAUUGAUCCAUCAGGUCUAAGCUUCCUGCGAAAUAUCCACUUACAACCUAAUGGUUUACUACCUGGAGGAAGAUUAGUAAGGAUCCAUAUUUUAUUUUGGAUUAUUGAGUUGAAUUUAGAGUUAAUAGCUUCCUUCCAAAAAGGAGCAUCAAGUGAAAACAUUGCCUCCACAAAAGUGAAAGAUUCACCUUCAACAAAAAAGGUAAAGAAGCUUUCAUCAAGAUCUUUUUCUUUUCUAGCCCUUGUGCUUCUUCUAGGUUCAGAAAGUCCACGAUCAGAGUUAGAUCUUUUCCUCUUUUUUGAAUCAUAAGGAAACUCUGAUUUAAUGAGACUAGGAUUAGAAGAUAGAUCAGAUUGAAUUGGAUUUGAAAUUUGAUUUCUAAAAGAAAAGAUAUUUUCAAAAUAAGUAGCAUCUCUAACCUCGAUUAGAGUGUUACUAGAGAUGUCACUUAUUUCAAAAUUUAUUACUAAAAAUUUAUUAGUGCUAUUAUCUAAGGAGUAUCCUACAAAAAUUGCAUCUAUAGUUUUAGGAUCAAUUUUUAUUUUCUUAGGUUCAGAUAUAUCUACCUUAGCUAAGCACCUUCACACUUUUAGGUAAUCUAAUCUAGGAGUUCUAUCCUUCCAAAGUUUAAAAGAAGUCUUAUUUCCAUCCUUAAAAUAUAUUCUAUUUAGGAUAUAACAGGCUACUAAUAAAGCUUACCCCCAUAAGUUCUUGGGUUUAAUUGCACUAUGAUCAUCAAAUGAAGCCAUUUAUGAUGUUUUGGUUGUUUAAUUGGUUUUGCAAAUAAAGUUUCAAGCGGUUUAGCCUUAUAUAUUUGAGUAAUUAAUUAAUGACUUAGAAUGAUACAAUUCUAGAUUUUAAAAUAAAUAUAAUAAAGAACAUUAAUAAGAACAAAAUUAAAUGAUUAUACUAAAAAUAUGACAAAAAAAAUAACUAUAUUAUUUUGUAUAUUUUUCAAGGCAGCAGCAAUAUUAAUUUUGAAAGAAUAACUAUCAACUUGCACAACUUUCAGGGCAACAAAAUUUUUUUAUGCUUUUGCAUAGAUUUUAAAAUUACAGAAAAAACAUGCAGAAAUUAAUUUAAACAAAAAUUUUGCAUGGAUUUUAAAAAGCCUGCAAAGACUAAUUUAAACAGAAAUUAAGGUUGUUUUUCAUGGCUUUUAAUGCAAGAGCAAAAAUUUCUGCACCACUUUUUUAAUCAACAGAAAAUUUCUGGAUAAUUUUUUUUAAAAAAAAAUCUGCUGAAAUCUGCAGAAAAUUUCUGCACUAUUUUUAAUGUUGCAAAAAAAAUUCUUUAAAGAAUUUAGAAGUGCAGAAAUUUUCUAUGUUCUUUUUUCAACAAUUGUAGAAAAUAAUGUGCACUAUUUUUAGAGUAAAUAAGUUUGCUAAUAAAUCUAAAAUCCUAAGAAGAACAAUCUCUAAAUGAUAAAUACUAAAAUUUUUGGUAUUAUGUAAUCAAUUUAAAGUUAAUUCUAAACAACGAAUAAUAAUUUCUAAUUUUAUCAAGAUCACGUUCUUAGACUGCUGGAAUAAAUACGUUCAAAAAGCUUAGAAAUUAUUAUUAUUGUUCUUACGAUUCUUAGAUGGUUUUAUAAAGAAAAAUAGAGUACUAAAAUAAAUAAAAGAUUGAAAAGAUCUUGCCUAAAUUGAGGCGUAUGAAACACUACCCUAAGAACGUGAUUCGCCCCCUACGUGUAGGUCUUUGGCGAUCUUAUUCCCAAGGUACAAUGACUCGGCUUAAUUCGAUCCUCCCCUCCCAAGCAUAAUUGUUGGGGAGGCGCUGACCUAAGAGAUUUCUUUCAGAUGCCCAAUUAAUAAAAGAAAAUGGAAAAGAGAAAGAUGAUCUCUGUCUCAGAAAGUAAUAGAGAGAAACAAAACACAAGAAGAGAGAAAAAUUUUAUUAUUUUUAAAUAGUCAGAUCCAGAAUCUAUUUAUAGACUCUAUCUAGAUUACUAAGGAGGCAUCAUGGUUUCAAAAAGAUACGAUGUUUCAGAAACAUCAUAUUUCGAAAAACAACAUUCUCUUCCGAAGAAUCAUGUCUCUUCGAAAAAAAUUGUUAAGUUUAAAAAUAGUGUUUUAAUAUUUUUAAAUAACUAAAAUUUAAGAGAUAAACAAAUUUAAAUCUUUUUAUUUUUAUUUUUAAAUAAAAGUCUAACAAAUAGGACACAUCAGGUAUAAACAGGAAACUCAUCCCAUUACCAUGGCCUUGGACCUUCAUUAAUGUUGCACAGACACAAAAGGCAGAGUCAGAUUUGGACAUAUAUAGAAGUGUUUGCCUUAGCAAGAGAAGGAAAAAAGAGAUACAAGGGAAGGAAAAAAUAAUAUUAGUUGAAUUGCAUUAAUAUCAAAUCAGCAAUACUGUAAAAUUGAAAAUUUUUUAAAAAUUUGUCAAGGCCUUCAUCUUUUGCAUAAAAAUUGACAAGUUUCUUUACUGUUAAGUGGUAGUCGACGUCUGGAACAUUUUGUUGAAGGGUGCAUGCAAGUGAAGUUGUGUGCAGCCAAAUGUGAAAAAGUAGUCUAACUCCAUAAAUAUUCAAAAUCUACGAUCAAACAUUCCAACAAGAAAACUAAAGUACUAAACAAAUCUAUGGCUCACCGAUGGAUACCAAUUUAGGGCCUCUUUAGAUGCAUAGGCCACAUGUAGUAUACGAUUAAGAAACCAUAAAAACUAAGUGAUGCAUGAGGUGUUGGAUUUUAGGUAUUUUACAUGCAAAUUUCCAAACAAUUUUGAAUUUAAGCAGCGGAAGUCAAGAUUAAAACAGUUUUAAUCCUACGCAUGCAUAGAUCAAAAUUUUAUACCUAUUGAUUUAGUUUAUAUGAUGAUAAAUAAAACAUAAAACAUCUGAUUUUAGAGAUUAAAAAUUUAUUUGUGAUGGAAUCACAUACCUGAAUCAUAGAACUUCUCGAAUCCGGAUCUAUGAAUGCCUUCAGGUUCUGAUUUAGCCGCAUAUGUGUCCGACCUCUACGGAUAUCCACACAAAGUCUGAUCUAAUCGGAGGCUCUAUGUUCUCUCCGGAGUGCUAGCUCCCUUGCAGAGAAUGCUUUCUUGAUGGUUGAACAAGAUCUCCUUCAAUCUCCAAGACAAUCUCAAGAAAGAAGAAGAUAAAGUAUAGAAGGAAG